AAUUUAACGAUGAAGAGUUUGAUCCUGGCUCAGGAUGAACGCUAGCGGCAGGCUUAACACAUGCAAGUCGAGGGGUAGCAGGGAGCUUGCUCCGCUGAC
rnacentral:rRNA from 1 species